UACAGAGGUCUCAAGCGUUGUUCGGAUUCAUUGGGCGUAAAGGGUGCGUAGGUGGCGCGCUAAGUCAGGUGUGAAAUUUCGGAGCUUAACUCCGAAACUGCGUUUGAUACUGGCGUGCUUGAGGACUGGAGAGGAGACUGGAAUUCAUGGUGUAGCAGUGAAAUGCGUAGAGAUCAUGAGGAAGACCAGUGGCGAAGGCGGGUCUCUGGACAGUUCCUGACACUGAGGCACGAAGGCCAGGGGAGCAAACGGG
rnacentral:rRNA from 1 species